UUGCCUACGGGACGCAGCAGUAGGGAAUCUUCCACAAUGGGCGAGAUCCUGAACCAGCCAAGCCGCGUGAGGGAAGACGGCCCUAUGGGUUGUAAACCUCUUUUGUCGGAGAACAAAACCCGGGACGUGUCCCGGACUGCGUGUAUCCGAAGAAAAAGCAUCGGCUAACCCCGUGCCAGCAGCCGCGGUAAUACGGAGGAUGCGAGCGUUAUCCGGAUUUAUUGGGUUUAAAGGGUGCGUAGGCGGUCCGUUAGGUCAGCGGUAAAAUUGCGGGGCUCAACCCCGUCGAGCCGUUGAAACUGGCA
rnacentral:rRNA from 1 species